rnacentral:rRNA from 1 species
UACGUAGGGGGCAAGCGUUGUCCGGAAUUAUUGGGCGUAAAGAGCGUGUAGGCGGUCCGGUAAGUCAGCUGUGAAAGUCAAGGGCUCAACCCUUGAAUGCCGGUUGAUACUGUCGGGCUAGAGUCCGGAAGAGGCGAGUGGAAUUCCCGGUGUAGCGGUGAAAUGCGCAGAUAUCGGGAGGAACACCAAUGGCGAAGGCGGUUCUCUGGGACGGUACUGACGCUGAGACGCGAAAGCGUGGGGAGCGAACAGG